GAUGAACGCUGGCGGCGUGCCUAAUACAUGCAAGUCGAGCGAACGGACGAGAAGCUUGCUUCUCUUAUGUUAGCGGCGGACGGGUGAGUAACACGUGGAUAACCUACCUAUAAGACUGGGAUAACUUCGGGAAACCGGAGCUAAUACCGGAUAAUAUCUUGAACCGCAUGGUUCAAAAGUGAAAGACGGUAUUGCUGUCACUUAUAGAUGGAUCCGCGCUGCAUUAGCUAGUUGGUAAGGUAACGGCCUACCAAGGCAACGAUGCAUAGCCGACCUGAGAGGUGGAUCGGCCACACUGGAACUGAGACACGCUCAAGACUCCUACGGGAGGCAGUAUUAGGGAAUCUUGCGUAAUGGGCGAAAGCGUGACGGAGAAACGCCGCGUGAGUGAUGAAGGUCUUCGGAUCGUAAAACUCUGUUAUUAGGGAAGAACAUAUGUGUAAGUAACUGUGCACAUCUUGACGGUACCUAAUCAGAAAGCCACGGCUAACUACGUG
rnacentral:rRNA from 1 species